rnacentral:rRNA from 1 species
UACGUAGGGACCAAGCGUUGUUCGGAUUUACUGGGCGUAAAGGGCGCGUAGGCGGCAAUUCAAGUCAGCUGUGAAAUCUCUGGGCUUAACCCAGAACGGCCAGCUGAUACUGCUUUGCUAGAGUGCAGAAGGGGCAAUCGGAAUUCUUGGUGUAGCGGUGAAAUGCGUAGAUAUCAAGAGGAACACCGGUGGCGAAGGCGGUCUGCUGGGGUAAUGCUGACACUGAUGCGCGACAGCGUGGGGAGCAAACAGG